AGCUGGUUCCAUAGGAGAGGAGCUUGGUAACUGAAGGCUCUGGCUCCUGUUCUACUUUUAGAGACUAUAGGAACCACAAGUAGCCCAGCAUUCAGAGAACGUAGUGUUCUAGUGGGGUAAUAGGGUACUAUGAGCUCUUUAAGAUAUGAAGGGGCCUGACCAUGAAGAGCUUUAUAGGUGAGGAGGAGGAUUUUAAAUUCAAUUCUACAUUUUACAGGGAGCCAAUGCAGAGAAGCUAGUACAGGAGAGAUGUGAUCUCUUUUUCUAGUUCCUGUCAGUACUCGUGCUGCAGCGUUCUGAAUUAAUUGGAGCGUUUUAAUGGACUUAUUGGGGCAACCUGAUAAUAAAGAGUUGCAGUAAUCCAGCCUUGAAGUAACAAAUGCAUGGAUUAGUUUUUCUGCAUCUGUCUGUGACAGGAUGUGUCUAAUUUUUGUAAUAUUACGUAAAUGAAAGAGGGCAGUCCUAGAGGUCUGCUUCAUGUGGGAGUUAAAAGACAAAUCCUGAUCAAAGAUAACUCCAAGAUUCCUGACA